rnacentral:rRNA from 1 species
UACGUAGGGUGCAAGCGUUAAUCGGAAUUACUGGGCGUAAAGCGUGCGCAGGCGGUUAUGUAAGACAGGUGUGAAAUCCCCGGGCUUAACCUGGGAACUGCAUUUGUGACUGCAUAGCUAGAGUACGGUAGAGGGGGAUGGAAUUCCGCGUGUAGCAGUGAAAUGCGUAGAUAUGCGGAGGAACACCGAUGGCGAAGGCAAUCCCCUGGGCCUGCACUGACGCUCAUGCACGAAAGCGUGGGGAGCAAACAGG